rnacentral:rRNA from 1 species
GGUUAAGCGACUAAGCGUACACGGUGGAUGCCCUGGCAGUCAGAGGCGAUGAAGGACGUGCUAAUCUGCGAUAAGCGUCGGUAAGGUGAUAUGAACCGUUAUAACCGGCGAUUUCCGAAUGGGGAAACCCAGUGUGUUUCGACACACUAUCAUUAACUGAAUCCAUAGGUUAAUGAGGCGAACCGGGGGAACUGAAACAUCUAAGUACCCCGAGGAAAAGAAAUCAACCGAGAUUCCCCCAGUAGCGGCGAGCGAACGGGGAGCAGCCCAGAGCCUGAAUCAGUGUGUGUGUUAGUGGAAGCGUCUGGAAAGGCGCGCGAUACAGGGUGACAGCCCCGUACACAAAAAUGCACAUGCUGUGAGCUCGAUGAGUAGGGCGGGACACGUGGUAUCCUGUCUGAAUAUGGGGGGACCAUCCUCCAAGGCUAAAUACUCCUGACUGACCGAUAGUGAACCAGUACCGUGAGGGAAAGGCGAAAAGAACCCCGGCGAGGGGAGUGAAAAAGAACCUGAAACCGUGUACGUACAAGCAGUGGGAGCACGCUU